rnacentral:lncRNA from 1 species
CUAAAGCCUGGGCUGAAGAAGAAUGGAGACCUGGCUGUUGUGGACCUUGGUUCUAAAUCGCCAUCUCCCUCCGGGCCUGGCUGGUCUCUGGCUGGGCCCCUUCACACCCAGGGUCUUGCCCACAGUGCACCCAGUUUUCCUGAUUUUGCUGUCUCGUGGGAAGUCCUGGGCACCUGAGGGCUCAGUGCGGCAGAUAAGAAUUUCAGCCAUGGUAUCAAUGGAUCUGCCAUGUUUGAAUCCUGGCUGUGAGUCCUUGAUCAAUUUACGGCAUCUCUCGAGGCCCCAGUUUUCUCACCUAUAAAAUGGAGAGAUAAAUAGUAUGGAUUGUGUUGGAUUAUUUUGAGGAUUAAACGCAAUGAAGCAGGUCAAGUCCUAACUCAGUGCCUGGCACAGAGUAAAUGUGCAAUGAGUGCCAUCGUCGUCAUCAUCAUCAUCAUCAUCAUUAUUGUUAUUGCUGUUAUUUACCACCUGCCCUCUGUUCCUUCGGGGAAAGCAAGCCUCCCACCUGUGUCUGAGUAGGCAGCUUAGCACGGCCUGUGCAGGUGGCCAGGGCACCCUGUGUGCACGCCCGAGGAGGGGACUCCAACCAGAAUCCUCCAGCUUCCGCGCACAGGGGCUCCAGCACGCACUGUGCCAGGACCCCAGUGAAUCGCAGCGUACACACUCGUGGGCCCUUGUGAGGAUAAAGGAGCUCCCAGAUGCACAGCACUUGGCCCAGUGCCGGCCCACAGCCUCAGUGAGUUGCGGCCAACAGUACUGCUGUCAUUGCCGCUAGGAUCAGCUGCAUCUAAGGCUGUACUGCUGCGUGGUGAGGAGCAGGAGUCAGACGGCCUGGGCAUGGACUGGCUGUGGACUUCAGGCAAGUUGCUUAACCAUCCUGACCCUCAAGUUUUCUCCUCUGUAUGACAGGACAGUGCCACCCCCUUCAUAGUGUCCUUAGGGGGGUUAAAGGACCACAGCACAGU